UCGGAGAACAAAAAACGAAUAUGGGGAGGAGUGAAGUAAAAACUGUAAUGUAGUUUUGAAAUUGGAAUUUUUACUGGGGAAGCAUGAAAAUGCUGAUUGGAAGUUCCCGUGUGAGCUGGAUUUGGGGACUGGAAGACAUCUCUGUGGGGUCAUGGUGCUAUCGUCCAGCCUUCUCACUGGGGACAUCCUCAGGUUGAUAUUGCUCUUGUGCCUACUCUUUCAAGGUACCUGAACUUCACUGUGGAAGAAAGGAAGGACAUGCUGGGUAAGUGAGAAAUGGCCCAAAGCAGUUACAUUCCUAACUGGGAUUUGGAUCUCCUUGGACCCGUUGGUGUUCCGGCUCUUUAGGAAUUUUUGAGAGGUGUAUGGUAAUAACUCAGUGUUACUGGAAAACAAAAAUAAAGUGAGGAAAAGCUUCUAUCUGUGAA